rnacentral:siRNA from 1 species
UUGGAGAAGUAUUCGUGAUCUA